rnacentral:ncRNA from 3 species
AACUGAAUAGAAGCGCCAGAACUAGAGGUUACGUCUCUAGUUGACGAGGAAGGGAUUAAUCGAAAAUUCGGCGGGAGUCCCUCGGUUGUACAUGCAAUCGUGAUGCCUUUGCUACAAACCAUCAAGGCGACUUGGUGAACAGAGUGGAAAGGAACAUGUUUU